GCUGCCGCCGACAAGGUUUUCCAUCUUUCUUCUUUGUUGUUCAGCCGCCGACAAGGAGGAAAUGGAUCGGAAGUCUGGAUAUUGGUGGUCACUUGACAAAUACGAGCCCAAACCCGAGCCGAGCGAACCCGAGCUAUUAGAGACGAGCCCGAGUUAGGUG